AGUUUCUCUGAAUGUAACAAAAUGUGCAGAAACGUAACUUGUUCAUUUCAAACGUCAAAGAGAAACAUUUUGUUAAUAAAGUAACGCCAGGAACAACACAUACCUAUUGGCCUUCAAAAAUCUCCUGAAAAGCAUCGAGAGUAUAGGAAUAGCAAGUGUCUAUGGAGUGAACUAUUUUGGAAAAGGUCAUCUACGGCACCAGAACUAUAAAAAUUUCAUAAUGCAAGAUGCGCUUGGAAAAGAUCUGCUAAAUACUUCAUUGAAUUAUGUGUCUCUGAUAAAAGAAGAAUAUCGAAUGUUGGCCAGUACCAUGCCGAAUUAUGGUAAUAUUAAAGCUAA